CUGAAACUGGCUCUUUGUAUCAUGGAGAAAAUACUACCCGAGCGGCCGAGCCCUUCCAAAUCCCAAACCGUCGCCGCCGUGCUCCAAUCCCUAACCGCCACCGCCGAAGCCGCCGGCGCCGCCCUGCUCCAAAUCCCCAACUGCCUCCCUGCGAUCCAUCCCAAACGACGCGCCCACGCCAGCCCCAUCCAUGCCGCCUCCCGUGGAUUCGCCCGCUCCUUCCAUUUCCCUGCAUCCCAACAUCUGUACCUUCCAUUGCCUGUGGACGCCGCCCUACAUCCCGAAUCUCUGACCCGACGGGAGGACGCUGCCACCCGAGGACGCUGAUGCCUGAGGCGGCGGAAACGGCCACGGCUGUGGAGGCGAACUGCGAGCGGAAGUAGGCGUUUGCGGCAUCACUCGACGUGAACGACGACCAGAGGGUCCUCGAAGGCAAGAUUAUUACAUGCUGAAAUGAAGGGUUCAUUUCACACUACACUUGGGCGCUUAGCCAUAAAACUGGGCCAUGGUUCACAUCUUCGUUCGUUCCUCGCGAUGUCCACAUCUUGGUUCGUUCCUGGAAAUCGGAGCGUGGCAGGGGAAAGGCCAUGGUGAGACGCCACAGUUUAUUCACUGUGGGUGGAUUUGAACCAUCAAGCCAAUGUAGCUGUGUGGUGCUAUUUUGUUGCAAGACAUACUGAAGAGACCUUUCCGCAAGCGGGUUGUCCAGUAUUUGUUUUGGGAGACAGUCCACCAAUUCUCAAUAAAUUGACUUAAUACUUCUAAUUAGAUUGAGGUAUUCAACUAAUGAAGUCUGUUCACUUUUACUUGCUGAUUGUGAGUGUGACACAUAUACAUCUUUGCCAUUUUGAAGUUCGUGUGCAUGCCAGAUGCAUAUUUCUUGUAUACUUCGCCUGAAUAUUUCACAUUUGUGGUUGUUGCCAUUUUUUCUUGUGGUGCUAGUCUGCUUAUAUGCUUCUAUGAGCAUGAAACUAUUUCUAGUGUUCUGUAGCUGUUUGAAAUUAUCCAAUAACCAAAUGUUGCCCGAUGUAAUGUUAGUCUGUUUUACUAUUUCAUCUAAACAGGCUACACAAUCCUAGAAUGUUAGCUUUCCUUCAACAAUACUUUCCCUGUCAUGCUCCUCUUAGGUAUCAUUUUUGCUAGUGACGAGGCACUACAAAUUUCAUAUGGUUGAGUUGUUUCAAAAGUGCAGCCUGUUAGUGAAGUGAAGAAAUGCAUUAUACACAAAAUGUAUUUUUUCAUAUUUUUCUCAUUUUCUGCAGAUUUUACCUAAUCUAUUUCAAAACUUGGCUGGGGAUAAAAGUUCAUUCAUUCUAUGCUCUAUGAUUAUUCUAGACUUCAUAAAAGCAGAACUCCACAAUCCUUUCUUAGGAUAAUAGGUGUCAGAUGAACAUGAUCUGUAUGCCAUUUGAAAUAUAUCAAAACCUUCUACUGUUCUGCUACUCUGUCUAAGCUAUUACGGAGCCCUUUAAUUCCCUUUAUUUUUCAUUAUCUACGAUGCUUAUGUUCCCUUUUUCCAAUACAGGACUGGUCAAGAUUCUCAAGAAGUAUGACAAGAGAACUGGGGCCCUUAUACGUCUCCCCUUCAUUCAAAAUGUGCUGCUUCAUCCUUUCUUCACCACUGACCUCAUGUACCAACUAAUUGUGAAGGACUGCGAGGCCAUGCUCGACCAAUUUCUACCAUUGAACAAACCAUCUAUGUCAAAUGAAGAUGGAACCCCAGUUCUUCCUUGGAUAUUAGCGAAUGCAUUCUAGAUCUUGAUGUACAUAAAGAGUUUGUUGAGAUAGAUUGCAACUUCUAUGCAAAUGUUAUGUCAUAUUGGGUGAUGUGAACGUAUCAUUGGUACACAUCUUAUUGUGCAAUAUGAAAUAAUCGUGGAAAAUGCACUUUAUUUUUUAUAA